AGUACAAAUGUAAAAUUUAAAUCUCCAUAGAUUUUUUUAACUUUGAUUUUUUAAAUAUAAAAAGAAAUAUUUAUUUCAGGAAAAUAUUUUUUUUCCAUAAUAUAUAUAUAUAUAUAUAUAGAGAGAGAGAGAGAGAGAGAGAGAGAGAGAGAGAGAGGAGAGGGGGGCGGCCAUUUCCCUUGUAGGCCUCCAUUACCAUUAGCCCAUUCCCCUAGGGCAAUUGGGCCAUCCAGCCAGUUGGACUUGGGGGAGCUCCUUGGGUCAGUAACAUUCAUAUUCUCAAGCCCAGUGUAGAUCCCGUCUUUUUAAUUUCCUUUUAACUUCAACACCAUGUUUGGAUAUGAGAAAAUAGAAGGGGAAGAAAAAUAAUAAGGUAUUUUCACUUUUCUUUGUUUGGAAAGAGAGGAGAAAAUAAAGAAGGGAAGGAAAAUAACCUUUAUUUCCUUUAGUUAUCUUCUUUCCAAUUUGAAGAAAAAAAUGAAGGAGACGUGUACUUUAUUUUAAAUUGACAUAUAUAUCCUUACAUAAACAAAAAAAUAAUAAAAAUAAGGUUUAAGAAUUGCAGCAGCAAUUCCUUGUAUACGAUACCUAAAUUAUUUUCAAAAAGCAGUUAUAUAAAUAUUGGAUGGAAGGAUAAUAAUAAAUAUUCUACCUGAUAUUUACAGCAACUGGGACUCGUGCUCCUUCAACGAAAGGCCUUUUUAUUCAUGAUAUAUAGAUUGAUCAUAAUUUACUUGCAUACAAAUCAAGAAGCUACUCUUCCUUGAUGGGAUUCAGAGUCCAAGUAUUUGCAUAUUUUGACACCAAACCCUGGUCACCCACAACACGACCACGUAGCCUACCAUCUAAGCAUUGUUGCAGGAUCAUACGGCCAAGCUCCGAAUUUCCUUUGCUCAAAUCCGCCUUUGCUGCCAACUCCUCCAGUUGCCUUGCAGUCAUGACAACUUUGAUUCUUAACUUGUUUGAUGAGGUAUCAGUAUGGCUACUUUUAACAUCCUCUUCUUCAUCUUGAAGGUGGUUCAAUGGCUGCACUGCUCUCUUCCUCCAUAUAAAAUUCCCCAUUGCUUGUAGAUUUUCUCUUUUGGCUUCUGAGGAAAGGGCGAAGCAUAGGGCGUCAUUGAUAUAGAAAAAUAGACGGCCAGCCCACUGGAUGUAUUAUUUUGUACAGCUCCAAUAAUUACCAGAAUUUGACGAAACUCUGGCCACACAGUAAUACGAAUUAAAAU
rnacentral:lncRNA from 1 species